rnacentral:rRNA from 1 species
AUGGAGUCGUCUGCGGCGAGGAGGCAGCCCAGCACGAGCAGCAGCAGCAUGAGCAGCCAGCAGGUCUCGGGCUUCAGCAAUUACAGCAGGGCGGCCUCCGACGGGUAUCCAUACCCUUCUGGCUCCCCGGACACAUACCGGCACCGGCGGCAGGCGUCGUCGUACAGCGCCCCGUUUUCUUCCCAGCUGAGCCGGAGCUCAACCCGCAGCAGCAGCAGCUCGUUCAAGGCGGCGGCGCGGGGCGUCGCCGGCGUGUUCGGCACCUGCUUCGUGCCCCGGGUCAGGAAGGCCCAGUCAGAGCAAGAACCGGAGGUCUCUCAGGUCUCUCGUGGGAGCAGGAGUGGAGGGUACUCUCAGGGGAGCAGGAGUGCGGGCUUCCAUGUCUCCACGGAUUCAGGGACAGGCAAAGGCAAGGAGGGUGCAGGGCUCACCGUUGCAGACAUAUUCAGGGCGACAUCGAACUUCAGCAAGAAGAACAUGGUCAGGGAGGGAGCUUCUUGCAGCGUCUUUAAAGGGAAGCUCAGGGACGGCUCCCAGGUUGCCGUCAAACGUGCCAGAAAGGUCUGGGGAAACAACAUCAUACUAAUAUUUGGCAACUGUCAGGAGCAACUAAUAUGUCUGAAUAUUUUGUUGCUGCAGUUAAACUGUCAGUAUCUAUCUGCUGAACUUAGCAGGGAGCUCGAGACGCUUCAGAAGAUCGAGCACCAGAAUUUGGUGAGGUUCCUCGGGUUCUUCGAGCAGAGAGAUGAAACUCUGGUCGUCGUCGAGUAUGUCGACAAUGGCUCCCUAAGGGAACACUUGGAUGAGUCGCGCGGAACCGGGCUAGAACUUGCGCAGCGGCUCAACAUCGCGAUCGACGUUGCUCACGCCGUCACCUACCUGCACGAAUACGCAGAACGGGCGGUGAUCCACCGGGACAUCCGGUCGUCGAACGUGCUGCUGACGGGCGCGCUGGCGGCGAAGGUGGCCGGGUUCGGGCUGGCUCGGGUGGCGGGCGACGGCGAGGCGACGCACGUGACGACGCAGGUGGUGGGCACGGCCGGGUACGUGGACCCGGAGUACCUGGGCACGCUCCAGCUCACGGACAAGAGCGACGUCUACUCCUUCGGCGUGCUCCUCGUGGAGCUCGUCACCGGCCGCCCGCCCAUCGAGCGCCGCCGCGGCCUCGAGCCCCGCGCCACCACCAAGUGGGCGCUGCAGAAGUUCCGGGGAGGCGACGCGGUGGUGGCCAUGGACCCGAGGGUGCGGCGGAGCCCGGCCUCGGUGGCCGCGGUGGAGGGGAUGCUCCGGCUGGCCGAGCAGUGCGUCAUGCCGGCGAGGCAGGACCGGCCGUCCAUGCGCCGGUGCAACGAGGCGCUGUGGACCGUUCGAAGGGACUUCCACCGGAGGCAGGAGCCGCGGCAGGACGGGACUGCCGGCGCCGCCGCCGCCGCCGCCGCCGGGGACAGGGGCUCCGAGUGGGUUAGCCGAUGA